AUUCCAUUUUUGAGUUCUUCUAGCUAGCAUACAUGGGUUUUAUGAUUUUGAGUUUACCAAUAUCGGUGCGAUUUGAGGCCACUAGUUUUAAUGGUUUGCCACCAUAUCGCCCUCGUCUUUCAAUCAGAAAGCCGUCUUGGGUUGUGAGGACAGAAUCCAAUGUUCGGAGAAAAAUAAGGAAGAAGCCGGAUCCACCUUGUGUGGUAUGUGAGGGGGGUGGAAGAGUGGAUUGCCAUUGUUGUCAGGGAAAAGGAAGGACAAAUCAAGUUCAUUUGGAAAUGCUUCCGAAAGGCGAAUGGCCAAAUUGGUGUAACACUUGUGGUGGAAGUGGUCUUACUUUCUGCUCACGCUGCCUUGGAACUGGAGAAUUUAGGGGUAUUAUGGGCUUUCAAUUCAUAAAAAUGGGCAAUCAUAAAUCUCAAUAGUAUACAAGUAUCAGUUUCUUCGUCUUCUUGGGUGAUGAUAGAUAUUAGGUUUGAGGUCAUACAGAAUAUCAUGGCACUUCUAGUAAUCUGACAUUUCUGGUCAACUUUGGAGGAACAUAAUUCAUAAUGCAAACAAACGAAGAGCACAACCAACCUUGCAUUGAAAACUCAUUUUUACAGUGGAGUCAAUGGCAACUUUUGGAUUCUCUUCU